UACGGGAGGCAGCAGUGGGGAAUAUUGCACAAUGGGCGCAAGCCUGAUGCAGCCAUGCCGCGUGUAUGAAGAAGGCCUUCGGGUUGUAAAGUACUUUCAGUCGUGAGGAAGGUGUUAAGGUUAAUAACCUUAGCAAUUGACGUUAGCGACAGAAGAAGCACCGGCUAACUCCGUGCCAGCAGCCGCGGUAAUACGGAGGGUGCGAGCGUUAAUCGGAAUUACUGGGCGUAAAGGGCACGCAGGCGGUUAAUUAAGUUGGAUGUGAAAUCCCCGGGCUUAACCUGGGAAUGGCAUUCAAGCUGGUUAGCUAGAGUCUUGUAGAGGGGGUAGAAUUCCAUGUGUAGCGGUGAAAUGCGUAGAGAUGUGGAGGAAUACCGGUGGCGAAGGCGGCCCCUGGACAAAGGACUGACGCUCAUGUGCGAAAGCGUGGGGAGCGAAAC
rnacentral:rRNA from 1 species